rnacentral:rRNA from 1 species
GACGAACGCUGGCGGCGUGCCUAAUACAUGCAAGUCGAACGCAGUGGGGACGGGUGAGUAACACGUGGGUAACCUCCCAUCAGAGGGGAUAACACUUGGAAACAGGUGCUAAACCGAUACUGAUGGAUGGACCCGCGGGGCAUUAGCUAGUUGGUGGGGUAACGGCUCACCAAGGCCACGAUGGCUAGGCGGUCGGAGAGGGGGACCCGCCACACUGGAACUGAGAAACGGCCCAGACUCCUACGGGAGGCAGAAGUGGGGAAUCUUCGGUAAUGGGCGGAAGUCGGACCGAGCCACGCCGCGUGUAUGAAGAAGGUUUUCGGGUUGGAAAAUUCUUUUUGUGGGGAAGCGGUAUCUAACCAGAAAGCCACGGCUAACUACGUGCCAGCCGCCGCGGUAAUUC